ACGUAGGGUGCUAGCGUUGUUCGGAAUCACUGGGCGUAAAGGGAGUGUAGGCGGGAUCGUAAGUUAGGAGUUUAAUGCAUGGGCUUAACCCAUGAUCUGCUUUUAAUACUGCGGUUCUUGAGUAUGGGAGAGGGCGAUGGAAUUCCAGGUGUAGCGGUGGAAUGCGUAGAUAUCUGGAAGAACACCAGUAGCGAAGGCGGUCGCCUGACCCAAUACUGACGCUGAUGCUCGAAAGCUAGGGGAGCAAACA
rnacentral:rRNA from 1 species